AAUCUGUGGUGUGGGCACUUCUGAAUAAGCGUCCUAAAACACUCCCAUGCUUCAUGAAAACUUUCCCCUUCUAACUGUUUGAACAUUGAAAUUUCCCUUCUUAGCU
rfam:Gossypium raimondii chromosome 2, whole genome shotgun sequence.